rnacentral:rRNA from 1 species
GGGGGCAAAUNUAGUAGCUGAGUAGAGAUGCAGUCUAGGCCUGUGAACAGUACCUAAAACGUUGCUUCGGCGGGAACAGACGGCCCUGUAACAACGGGCCUGCCCCCGCCAGAGGACCCCUAACUCUGUUUUUAUAAUGUUUUUCUGAGUAAACAAGCAAAUAAAUUAAAACUUUCAACAACGGAUCUCUUGGCUCUGGCAUCGAUGAAGAACGCAGCGAAAUGCGAUAAGUAAUGUGAAUUGCAGAAUUCAGUGAAUCAUCGAAUCUUUGAACGCACAUUGCGCCCGCCAGUAUUCUGGCUGGGCAUGCCUGUUCGAGCGUCAUUACAACCCUCAGGCCCCCGGGCCUGGCGUUGGGGAUCGGCGGAAGCCCCCUGUGGGCACACGCCGUCCCUCAAAUACAGUGGCGGUCCCGCCGCAGCUUCCAUUGCGUAGUAGCUAACACCUCGCAACUGGAGAGCGGCGCGGCCAUGCCGUAAAAACACCCAACUUCUGAAUGUUGACCUCGAAUCAGGUAGGAAUACCCGCUGAACUUAAGCAUA